rnacentral:rRNA from 1 species
CCUACGGGAGGCAGCAGUGGGGAAUAUUGCACAAUGGGGGAAACCCUGAUGCAGCGACGCCGCGUGAGUGAAGAAGUAUUUCGGUACGUAAAGCUCUAUCAGCAGGGAAGAAAAUGCCGGUACCUGACUAAGAAGCCCCGGCUAACUACGUGCCAGCAGCCGCGGUAAUACGUAGGGGGCAAGCGUUAUCCGGAUUUACUGGGUGUAAAGGGAGCGUAGACGGCAGCGCAAGUCUGGAGUGAAAUCCCAUGGCUUAACCAUGGAACUGCUUUGGAAACUGUGCAGCUAGAGUGCAGGAGAGGUAAGCGGAAUUCCUAGUGUAGCGGUGAAAUGCGUAGAUAUUAGGAGGAACACCAGUGGCGAAGGCGGCUUACUGGACUGUAACUGACGUUGAGGCUCGAAAGCGUGGGGAGCAAACAGGAUUAGAUACCCCAGUAGUG